rnacentral:rRNA from 1 species
UACGAAGGGGGCUAGGCGUUGCUCGGAAUCACUGGGCGUAAAGCGCACGUAGGCGGAUUGCUAAGUCAGGGGUGAAAUCCUGGAGCUCAACUCCAGAACUGCCUUUGAUACUGGCGACCUUGAGUCCGGGAGAGGUGAGUGGAACUGCGAGUGUAGAGGUGAAAAUUCGUAGAUAUCUGGAGGAACACCGGUGGCGAAGGCGGCAUCCUGGACCGGUAUUGACACUGAAAAGCGAAAGCCAGGGGAGCAAACGGG